rnacentral:lncRNA from 1 species
AGGACUCCUGGUCUUCCCAUAAUCAGGACUCCUGGGCUUCCCAUUAUCAGGGCUCCUGGGCUUUCCAUAACCAGGACUCCUGGGCUUUCCAUAACUAGGACUCCUAGGCUUUCCAUAACCAGGACUCCUGGGCUUUCCAUAACCAGGACUCCUGGGCUUUACAUAAUCAGGACUCCUUGGCUUUCCAUAAUCAGGACUCCUUGGCUUUCCAUAAUCAGGACUCCUGCGCCUGCCAUAAUCAGGAAUGGCCCUGCCAUAAUCAGGACUCACCCGUCUGUCUGGUCCACCAUUAUACCUAUCAUAGACAGG